GUAGGUGGCAAGCGUUGUCCGGAAUUAUUGGGCGUAAAGCGCGCGCAGGUGGUUCUUUAAGUCUGAUGUGAAAGCCCCCGGCUCAGCCGGGGAGGGCCAUUGGAAACUGGGGAACUUGAGUGCAGGAGAGGAAAGUGGAAUUCCACGUGUAGCGGUGAAAUGCGUAGAUAUGUGGAGGAACACCAGUGGCGAAGGCGACUUUCUGGCCUGUAACUGACACUGAGGCGCGAAAGCGUGGGGAGCAAACAGGGAUUAGAUACCCUGGUAGUCCACGCCGUAAACGAUGAGUGCUAAGUGUUGGGGGGGUUUCCGCCCCCUCAGUGCUGCAGCUAACGCAUUAAGCACUCCGCCUGGGAUACGGUCGCAAGACUG
rnacentral:rRNA from 1 species